rnacentral:tRNA from 1 species
GAGGGUAUAGUUUAGUGGUAGUGUGUCUGUUUAGUAUGCACAAGGUCCUGGGUUCAAUUCCCAGUACCUCCU